rnacentral:SRP_RNA from 1 species
CCCGCGCAACGGGACCCUGUGAACCGUGUCAGGCGGGGAACCGAGCAGCACUAAGCAGGUAUUUCCGUGUGCCGCGGGCCUGCCGG